rnacentral:rRNA from 1 species
AUACGGAAGGUCCGGGCGUUAUCCGGAUUUAUUGGGUUUAAAGGGAGCGCAGGCGGAGAUGCAAGCGUGACGUCAAAUUUCGGGGCUCAACCCCGUCUCGCGUCGCGAACUGCGUCCCUUGGUUGCGGGAAGGGGAGGCGGAACUCGUGGUGUAGCGGUGACAUGCAUAGAUAUCACGAAGAACUCCGAUCGCGAAGGCAGCCUUCCGGCCCGUCAACGACGCUCAUGCUCGAAGGUGCGGGUAUCAAACAGGAUUAGAUACCCUGGUAGUCCGCACAGUAAACGAUGGACACCCGCGGUUUGGCCUGUAUGGCUGAGCCGCCAAGCGAAAGCGUUAAGUGUCCCACCUGGGGAGUACGCCGGCAACGGUGAAACUCAAAUGAAUCGGCGGGG